CUAAUAAAAAUUUUACUAAAAACCCAAAUCAGUUCAUAGUGUGUGUGUGUGUGUGAGAGAGAGAGAGAGAGAGAGAGAGAGACCUCAUGAGACAGAUGAAGACGAUGAUAACUGCCCAAAAAUUUAAUAUAGAAAAUUAACACUUAAAAACAGUUUCGUAGAAGCAGAUGAAUUUUGAUAUUCUACUCCUCCACUUCCACCUCUUCCGCCGGAAUCCCAGUCAAUAUUUUAGGGGAGAGAGAAGAAAAUGAUUUAGAGAGAGAGAGAGAGAGAAGGAUGAAACCCAUAAAUAUGAUUGGAGGGUAAAGGGUAUCUGAAUAUAUCUUUAUCUAAUUAUUGAAUACUGCAAUUAAUUAUUGGAUUGCUUGAACAGUACCCUUCAAUUGCAGAAAAAAUUGGGAGCAAUUGAGCAAAGAAGGGAAAAAUGUGAUGGAGACAGGUUUAUAAUUAAUUAUGGAGUUUGACCCAAAAAAAUAUAGAAGGCAGAUAAUGUGAAAAAUGAAAUUUUCUUCUAUCCUUUAAUGAUUUUUUUUAGUUUCAAAAUCUCAAGUAAAUAUUUGUUAUCAGAUGCAUCAAAUAAGAAAGGGAAUUAGCUUUAUUAACUUUUCCUAAUCCCUUUUUCAUUCUUCCUCACUUGCCACAAUAGAUUCUGCCGUGGUGAUUUUAUUUGGGCUUUAUUUCAC
rnacentral:lncRNA from 1 species